AUUGAACGCUGGCGGCAUGCCUUACACAUGCAAGUCGAACGGUAACGGGCCUUCGGGUGCCGACGAGUGGCGAACGGGUGAGUAAAGCAUCGGAACGUACCUUUCAGUGGGGGAUAACGUAGCGAAAGUUACGCUAAUACCGCAUAUUCUGUGAGCAGGAAAGCAGGGGAUCGCAAGACCUUGCGCUGAUUGAGCGGCCGAUGUCAGAUUAGCUAGUUGGUGAGGUAAAGGCUCACCAAGGCGACGAUCUGUAGCGGGUCUGAGAGGAUGAUCCGCCACACUGGAACUGAGACACGGUACAGACUCCUACGGGAGGCAGCAGUGGGGAAUUUUGGACAAUGGGGGCAACCCUGAUUCAGCCAUGCCGCGUGAGUGAAGAAGGCCUUCGGGUUGUAAAGCUCUUUCGGUCGGGAAGAAAUCGCAUGGGUUAAUACCCUGUGCGGAUGACGGUACCGGCAUAAGAAGCACCGGCUAACUACGUGCCAGCAGCCGCGGUAAUAC
rnacentral:rRNA from 1 species